rnacentral:rRNA from 1 species
ACAAAACUUUCAACAACGGAUCUCUUGGUUCCAGCAUCGAUGAAGAACGCAGCGAAAUGCGAUAAGUAAUGUGAAUUGCAGAAUUCAGUGAAUCAUCGAAUCUUUGAACGCACAUUGCGCCCCUCGGUAUUCCGGGGGGCAUGCCUGUUCGAGCGUC